GACGUAGGGGGCAAGCGUUGUCCGGAUUUAUUGGGCGUAAAGAGCGUGUAGGCGGCCGCACAGGUCCGUUGUGAAAACUGGAGGCUUAACCUUCAGACGUCGAUGGAAACCGUGCGGCUAGAGUCCGGAAGAGGAGAAUGGAAUUCCUGGUGUAGCGGUGAAAUGCGCAGAUAUCAGGAAGAACACCCGUGGCUAAGGCGGUUCUCUAGUACGGUACUGACGCUGAGACGCGAAAGCGUGGGGAGCGAACAGG
rnacentral:rRNA from 1 species